GACAGAGGGUGCAAACGUUGUUCGGAAUUACUGGGCGUAAGGCGCGUGUAGGCGGCUCGGCAAGUCGGGUGUGAAAGCCCUGGGCUUAACCUAGGAAGUGCACUCGAAACUGCCAAGCUUGAGUUCUGGAGAGGAAGGCGGAAUUCUCGGUGUAGAGGUGAAAUUCGUAGAUAUCGAGAGGAACACCGGUGGCGAAGGCGGCCUUCUGGACAGCAACUGACGCUGAGACGCGAAAGCGUGGGGAGCAAACAGG
rnacentral:rRNA from 1 species